UGUUUCAGGGCCAGGGUGAGGACCGGAGAGAGGAUGAGGUGGAGAAAGUUCCAGGAAGUUCCCUCGUUACACACAUUAGCCUGGGUACCGAAAGUCUAAUUGCUUGUGUGGACAGGUGAGUUUGGUGGACAGGUGAGUUUGGUGGACAGGUGAGGUUGGUGGACAGGUGAGGGUGGACAGGUGAGUUGACAGUUGAGGUUGAUAGGUGAGGUAUACAGGUGAGAUGAGAUAUACAGGUGAGUGGACAGGUGACCAUUCCAGUAAGUGUCUUGUUGUUCGGAUGUAUACGUGCAAAUGUGCGGGUGAUGGACUUUAUAAGGACUUUGAUAUGAGAUUGUUCUGUGUGGCUGAAGUC